UACGUAGGGUGCGAGCGUUGUCCGGAAUUAUUGGGCGUAAAGCGCGUGUAGGCGGCUUUGCAAGUCGGGUGUGAAAGCCCUCAGCUUAACUGAGGAAGUGCGCCCGAAACUGCAUUGCUUGAGUACCGGAGAGGAUGGCGGAAUUCCCCAAGUAGAGGUGAAAUUCGUAGAUAUGGGGAGGAACACCGGUGGCGAAGGCGGCCAUCUGGACGGAUACUGACGCUGAGACGCGAAAGCGUGGGUAGCAAACAGG
rnacentral:rRNA from 1 species